AUGCUCAAUGUCACCAACACAGUUGUGCUUGUUGCAACAAAACCUGCACAUGAUCGAGGAGUCAUUGUUGUAGAUUUGGACCUUCAGGCCGAGUCCCGAGAUGUGCAGAAUGAGGAGGUCGCCGAGGACGAUCCGGUGCUGGUGACAGAAGUAGUUCUAGCCCCGGCCAAGCACCAUGUGCCCCUCGAAGUUCUGGACCUGCACCCAGAACUCGCACCACUUGUUCGCCGACAGCCUGACCACGCGCGGGAGCCUCUUGAUGACCAGUCACUCGUUCAUCACCUCCACGAACUUGCGAGGGAUGACGAGCAUGGCGAGGUCUUCGGCGUCCUUGAUUUGCUGAUAGAAGCGCGGUGGCUCCCGGCCCCCCUCCUCGUGGCCGGUUCUCGAAGAUCGUCCCCUUGA
rnacentral:rRNA from 1 species